AGAUUUUUUCCGAUUUUUUGAGGGACGGAUGGACAGGGAGAGAGAGAGAGAGGGCAGAGAGCAUGCCGUGCGUUUUUUGGGGUUAACGGGUUACCCCACGGGGUUGGUGGGCAGAGGAUGCCUGAGGGAGGUAUGGGAGAGGAGAGGGUUUUCAGUUUUGUCCCCUGAUUCAACAGAUCAAACACAAGUCUUGACAAUUGGUUGUAGGAAGCCCUCUGUGCUCAAGUCAAAACCCUAGAGACGAUUGCAAGCGGGUGGACAGUGACGUGAGCGACGAAGGAGAAAUGGAAAAUCCGGAGUUAUGCCCAAAAUGGAUAGCUUUGCUGACUAUGGAGAAAGCUUGCUUAUCUACUAUCUCUCUUGAAGAAACCACUGGUGCGGUAAGGAAGUCGGGGGGCAACUUUAAGGAAAAAUUACGAGAGCUUGGAGGUCUUGAUGCUGUAUUUGAGGUGACCAUGGAUUGCCAUUCCAAUAUGGAGGGUUGGCUAAAAGGAAGCUCGCAUUCUAUUUGGGAAAAUGAAAACGGCAUGGUGCGGAGCCUGGUUCUGCUUUUGAAAUGUUUGAAGAUCAUGGAAAAUGCCAUAUUCCUAAGUAAAGAGAAUCAGAUGUAGACCUUUGAAUCAAACUGAAAUUUCAAGUGGAUCUGGUUUCGUUGUUGAAUUCGAAUCCUCCCUAAAUAACGAGCUGCAGAUCAUUUGUUCUGAUUCCUCAAAAAAGCAGUUCAAGUUUGACCAUGUCUUCAGACCUGAGGACAACCAAGGUCUAUGUGUGCAGCAAGCAAAAUCCUUUCAUUCAUAUGAGCUUCUUGGGCCUCUACCUUCACAGCAGCUUACCUAAAAUGCUUUUUCAAUAUGUCGAUGUGUCUGAAGCGUCUAUGAGAAUCUCAAACUUAAUAAAUAAUUUCCUGCAGAUCAAAAAGCUUGAUGGCUCUGAGUUCCGAAAUGCUUUUGACUGUCAAUCUGUUCGUGUAUGAAUCUUACAAGUUGAAAAUUUAUUUUCUUUCCUCCUGUAUUUUUGUUUAUCUUUUGCUCUGUUGGGUUUUUUUUCCAAUAACUCGAAGGGCCAAAAGGUAUUCCCUUUUCAUAUUCUUCUCUCCCAAUUUCUUUAGGGUUAAUUUCAAUUUUCUUAUGCUAUUUGCAUGGGGCUUUUUAGGGUUCAGCUAUUUGAUUUCACAGAUUCAUUUCAGACACAGUAAAUAGGUUGGUCAAGGACAUAGGGAGAAGAGCACUUUGGAAAUGGUAAGGUGCACAAAUCUGGGAAAAGCAUGACAGGGGAAAGCUGGGAUAUUGUUGUGGAUGAGGAGACCUAUUAUGAGGCUGAGCCGCAUUACGGGUGGGCAGAUGUCUUUGGUGACUCUAGCCAAUUGCUGUCAAUUAAACCUCGAGAAUGGCCACCUGGCGUCUACCCUGCCCUUGAUUUUGGAUCAUCGUCGCCUUCGGUUGAUGAACCACCAGAUGAAUUUUCUCCAAUAUCGUGCGACUCAGAGUUUUUUGUCAAUCUUUGAUUUUGAGUCUUUCCGAAAGCUGCUAUCAUCUCCAAAAUCCUUAUUCUGGUAUGUAGAUAGCUGCUAAGUGCUGCGGCUCACUAAGUUUGGCCUCAUGCCUUCAUUGCAGCAUGCCCUCUGUGACAAGUAUAUAUAUUUUGGCUAUUUGGGAAUGUGAAUGAAUACGCAAGGUCUUGAUGAUACUAUGUAGGGAGACGCAAUCUAAUCGACAGUAAAAGAUGUUGACUAUGCUUUACUUGAUAAAAAAAAAAAAGAAACUGAAUGUGUGUAUUAUGAGAAGAAGCGGAGAGCAAUUUGUCUCAGUUUUGGAAUUAAAGAAGCUAACUCAAGCAGAUAUUUCAAAGUUGGAGGAGGCAUUGUGGAUUAAUAAUAGGAAAUAUGAUGCUAUGUGGUGUUGGGAAAUGCAAAGUGCUUGUGCAUUUUGCACUCUGGACCAGAAUGAGGCAAAUGUUCCAAAAGGUGUUGCAGUGCUUCUAGAAGGCUUUCAAUGAGGUGGUUGCAAGUUAGAAUUUUAUUCAUGCAGAGAAGUGUAUCUCAUUACAAGGAACUUAAUCCAACAGAAUAUUUACUACUUUUAAAAGCAUUUUGUGAACUCCAAGCUCAAGUCAAUCUUUAAUUUUCAUCUACUUUUUAUUUAUCUAUGUCUAGGUGAUUUACAUGGUUUGUAACCAUUAAAUCACCCAACGUUAUAUUUACAAUUGUGUUUCUGAAUGUUGAUAUCAAUUAAAAUACUAUUAUUCAAGUUAUUA